UUACGUCCAUAUCACGUUAAAGCAGAAGUUCCCGUACAAUCACCGAAGUUAAGCAACGUCGAGAUUGGUCAGUACCUAGAUAGGUGACCGUUUAGGGAAUACCAGGUGCUGAAA